rnacentral:rRNA from 1 species
AGCGAACGCUGGCGGCAGGCCUAACACAUGCAAGUCGAACGAACUCUUCGGAGUUAGUGGCGGACGGGAGAGUAACACGUGGGAACGUGCCUUUAGGUUCGGAAUAACUCAGGGAAACUUGUGCUAAUACCGAAUGUGCCCUUCGGGGGAAAGAUUUAUCGCCUUUAGAGCGGCCCGCGUCUGAUUAGCUAGUUGGUGAGGUAAAGGCUCACCAAGGCGACGAUCAGUAGCUGGUCUGAGAGGAUGAUCAGCCACAUUGGGACUGAGACACGGCCCAAACUCCUACGGGAGGCAGCAGUGGGGAAUCUUGCGCAAUGGGCGAAAGCUUGACGCAGCCAUGCCGCGUGAAUGAUGAAGGUCUUAGGAUUGUAAAAUUCUUUCACCGGGGACGAUAAUGACGGUACCCGGAGAAGAAGCCCCGGCUAACUUCGUGCCAGCCGCCGCGGUAAGAC